AGAAAAAACUUGGAGUGAAAUAGGGCUGCUAACUUUGUUUUGGGUGAUUCGAUUUCAUCCUUUUUCUU
rnacentral:tRNA from 1 species